AUACUUAACUGGCAGGGGAGAUACCAUGAUCAAGAAGGUUGUUCGGCCAUUGCACUCUGGCUGUCAGACCCCUGCGAAUUCCCAAAAUGGGGGAAUCUUGACUGCAUAAUUCGUGCUGGUGGGGGACUGCGUUGGUGCUCUCCCCUU
rnacentral:snRNA from 1 species